rnacentral:rRNA from 1 species
AGCGAACGCUGGCGGCAGGCCUAACACAUGCAAGUCGAACGCCCCUUCGGGGGAGUGGCAGACGGGUGAGUAACGCGUGGGAACGUGCCCAUCGGUUCGGAACAACCCAGGGAAACUUGGGCUAAGACCGGAUACGUGCGAGAGCAGAAAGAUUUAUCGCCGAUGGAUCGGCCCGCGUCUGAUUAGCUUGUUGGUGGGGUAACGGCCCACCAAGGCGACGAUCAGUAGCUGGUCUGAGAGGAUGAUCAGCCACACUGGGACUGGGACACGGCCCAGACUCCUAAGGGAGGCAGCAGUGGGGAAUAUUGGACAAUGGGCGCAAGCCUGAUCCAGCCAUGCCGCGUGAGUGAUGACGGCCCUAGGGUUGUAAAGCUCUUUCAGUAGGGAAGAUAAUGACGGUACCUACAGAAGAAGCCCCGGCUAACUUCGUGCCAGCAGCCGCCGUAACAC